ACCUGACCUCAAAUCGG
rnacentral:rRNA from 1 species